GAUGAACGCUGGCGGCGUGCCUAAUACAUGCAAGUAGAACGCUGAAGGAGGAGCUUGCUCUUCUGGAUGAGUUGCGAACGGGUGAGUAACGCGUAGGUAACCUGCCUGGUAGCGGGGGAUAACUAUUGGAAACGAUAGCUAAUACCGCAUGACAACAGUUAUUGCAUGAUAACUGUUUAAAAGGGGCAACUGCUCCACUACCAGAUGGACCUGCGUUGUAUUAGCUAGUUGGUGAGGUAACGGCUCACCAAGGCGACGAUACAUAGCCGACCUGAGAGGGUGAUCGGCCACACUGGGACCGAGACACGGCCCAGACUCCUACGGGAGGCAGCAGUAGGGAAGCUUCGGCAAUGGACGGAAGUCUGACCGAGCAACGCCGCGUGAGUGAAGAAGGUUGUCGGAUCGUAAAGCUCUGUUGUAAGAGAAGAACGAGUGUGAGAGUGGAAAGUUCACACUGUGACGGUAUCUUACCAGAAAGGGACGGCUAACUACGUG
rnacentral:rRNA from 1 species